UACAGAGGUCUCAAGCGUUGUUCGGAUUCAUUGGGCGUAAAGGGUGUGUAGGUGGCGCGCUAAGUCAGGUGUGAAAUUUCGGAGCUUAACUCCGAAACUGCAUUUGAUACUGGCGUGCUUGAGGACUGGAGAGGAGACUGGAAUUCACGGUGUAGCAGUGAAAUGCGUAGAGAUCGUGAGGAAGACCAGUGGCGAAGGCGGGUCUCUGGACAGUUCCUGACACUGAGGCACGAAGGCCAGGGGAGCAAA
rnacentral:rRNA from 1 species